GACGAACGCUGGCGGCGUGCUUAACACAUGCAAGUCGAGCGAGGCCCCUCUUCGGGAAGGUGUCCUAGCGGCGAACGGGUGAGUAACACGUGGGCAACCUGCCCUCAGCUCUGGGGAUAACCCCGGGAAACGGGGCUAAUACCGGAUACGACCUCCACGGGCAUCUGCGGAGGUGAAAGGUCUUCCGGCUGAGGAUGGGCCCGCGGCCUAUCAGCUAGUUGGUGGGGUGACGGCCCACCAAGGCGACGACGGGUAGCCGGCCUGAGAGGGCGACCGGCCACACUGGGACUGAGACACGGCCCAGACUCCUACGGGAGGCAGCAGUGGGGAAUAUUGCGCAAUGGGCGAAAGCCUGACGCAGCGACGCCGCGUGAGGGACGAAGGCCUUC
rnacentral:rRNA from 1 species